UACGUAGGGUGCAAGCGUUGUCCGGAAUUAUUGGGCGUAAAGAGCUCGUAGGCGGUUUGUCGCGUCUGCUGUGAAAACGCGAGGCUCAACCUCGCGCCUGCAGUGGGUACGGGCAGACUAGAGUGCGGUAGGGGAGAUUGGAAUUCCUGGUGUAGCGGUGGAAUGCGCAGAUAUCAGGAGGAACACCGAUGGCGAAGGCAGAUCUCUGGGCCGUAACUGGACGCUGAGGAGCGAAAGCGUGGGGAGCGAACAGG
rnacentral:rRNA from 1 species